AAAAACUAGGUGCGUCUUGUGGUCUGGUGUGUCUUAUAGAGCGAAAAAUAUGGUAUAACAGCAGAGAUAAUUCAGGUGCUGAAUAAGUUCAGAACUCCCUUAUAGGUCUCUGUUACAUAUUUUCCUGCUAUUGUUUGUGUUAAUGGUAGCCUAACUCUAUACAUUUGUCUUUUGUUUCCAGAUGUUUCUUGUUUCCAGAUCUAUCAGCUGUGAAUGAGGAGGAAGGAAACAAGUUUUAUUUUAGAUAGCUCAGCCAUAUGGACAACCUGAAGGAAUAUAUUAUUAGCAUGUAACCUUUAGGGACGCAGGUGGUGCUGUCGGUUAGGCUACAGAGGCUAGGACUUGCCAAACAGAAGGUUGCCGGUUCGAAUCCCCGCGACGGGAAUUCCAAUUGCUGUAACGUGCAGAGAAAUAACUGGUCUGCAAUAUUCCAGUGGUCCAUGGUCCAGGAGGUGGCGUGAGUAUGGGAACCAAGGAAUCAGCAGCUUUCAUACUGUCAUCAGAGGAACCCUAUGGCGCAAUGAGAACAUCAGUAAAAGGGUUGAUGGAGCGACCAAGUCAUCAAAAUGAGGAUGGAGAUGCAUUUGAUUCCUAACGUCUGGAUUCUGUCAAGCCCUCAAGACACUAUUCCCACUGAAGGCAGACCACUCAAGCAUAAAUAGCACCUGAAUUUUAAUCACCAAUUCUUGUUACUGUUAAGUCAGUGCAUGUACGAAACCCUGUCUAAAUAGCAACGUGAAAUGUGGUGCACAGGAUAACAAGGUCAUUGAAACCAAUUUGGGUUUUUUUUCCAUUUUAACUUGUUCCACAUUGUCGCUAAAAGCUGGAAUGUUUGAAGUCCUGGGUGGAGACAAAUAAUGAAAUGUUCCAAGUUGAAUGUUCCUGCCACAGCUUCACCUUGUGGAGUUGUUUCAUAGCUCAAGAUUAAAGGAAGCACUAGAAUUACCAUGCUGGCUGAAGAAAAAGAUGGUAAACCACACAACCUUGCAGAAUAUUCAGGACUCGGGGUGUGGGGUUUUCUGGUCAUUUAACUGACAUACUUUUUUCCACCUCUGAACUUAGGCAAGGAUGUGUCCUUGAUGAUUUUAUUUAUACUUGGCCGAUCUUCCCACAUAUUUGGGCUCAACAUCUUCACACCCUCCUCACUCACCACUACCAAAGUUUACAUUUUCUUAUGCACAGAUGAUGCUGUCUUAAUCUCACAAUGCCGGCUAGGGCUCUGUCCACUGGAGAUGACUUCAGGAAAUAAUUUAUAACUAUUAACUUUGUGAAGUCAAAGGUAAUGGUGUUUUCAAAAAGGAAGGCCAAGUAUUCCUGGGCCAUGGAUAGCCACAGAUUAGAACAAGUUGAUUUCUGCAGCUAUUUCAGGAUCUGGUUUCAUGACUGUCAACAAUUGGACUGCGCUUGACAAAUUAGCAAAGGCAAAAGCAGGGCAUACGGUAAGAGCAUUACUUUGAUUUUGUUUCCCCUUCACAAAAGGAGGUGAAUCUGUUCCAGCAGCAAUAUGAGUGAACACAGCAAAAGCUGUGAAGCAGAUUUUAUACGGUGCCUCAAUCUGGUUACUCUCAGAAUAUGUUGGAAGCUGAAAUGGAAAUGGAGGUGAUCUGAGUGCGAAAGAGAGGUGAGUGUGGAUCCUGUCUGAAGCCUGGUCGUGGGCUAGGGCCAUGCCAGGACCCACUGGGGACCUAUAUCAUAGGGCUCCCCCUGCUGGUGGUUUACCCUUAGUGUGACUCCCUGCAGACAGGCAGGAGAUAGGAUAUAGUCUGGUUCCACCCAGUGUCAAACCACUCACAUCUGUAACCAAUAAAGUUGUGGCCUAUUUUUGUCCAUUAACCUAAA